GGUGGCUCAGUGGUAGAGCUCUUGCCUUGCAUGCAAAGGGCCUUGGGUUCGAUUCCCCAGCACCA
rnacentral:tRNA from 1 species